rnacentral:precursor_RNA from 1 species
CCUGGAAUUAAUAAUAAUAAAAAGGGGCAAUCCUGAGCCAAAUCCUGUUUUCCGAAACCAAAGGUUCAGAAAGUGAAAAAAAGGAUAGGUGCAGAGACUCAACGGAAGCUGUUCUAACAAAUGGAGUUGGCUGCGUUAGUAGAGAAAUCUUUCCAUCGAAAAUUCAGAAAGACUGAAGUGAAGGAUAAACGUAUAUACAUACGUAUUGAAUACUAUAUCAAAUGAUUAAUGACGAAACAACUGAAUCUGUAUUUUUUUUUAUAUAUGAAAAACGGAAGAAUUGGUGUGAAUAGAUUCCACAUUGAAGAAAGAGUCAAAUAUUCAUUGAUCAAAUGAUUCACUCCAUAGUCUGAUAGAUCUUUUCAAGAACUGAUUAAUCGGACGAGAAUAAAGAUAGAGUCCCGUUCUACAUGUCAAUGCCUGCAACAAUGAAAUUUAUAGUAAGAGGAAAAUCCGUCGACUUUAAAAAUCGUGAGGGUUCAAGUCCCUCUAUCCCCAA